AAGGAUCAUUACCAACAAAGGCGAGAAAUCGACCUUUCUACCCGUGAGGUGGCCGCCACCCCCUUUUAAAAGGGAGGGGGCCUCCGAGCCGGUCAACCCUUUGUGAACCGAAAAAAGCCUUUUCGCUUCGGCAGCUGGGCCCCAACCUGCCUGUCAGCCUGCCGCUAGCACCAACCUUCAAAACCUGCUGUCAAAACAUUUGUCUGAUGACCAAAAUUUUCGAAUGAAAAAAAAAAAUCAAAACUUUCAACAACGGAUCUCUUGGUUCCC
rnacentral:misc_RNA from 1 species